CCAAAGCAGGGGCUCUUCGGACCUUGCACUAUCGGAUGAACCCAUAUGGGAUUAGCUAGUAGGUGGGGUAAAGGCUCACCUAGGCGACGAUCUCUAGCUGGUCUGAGAGGAUGAUCAGCCACACUGGGACUGAGACACGGCCCAGACUCCUACGGGAGGCAGCAUG
rnacentral:rRNA from 1 species